AGAAAAGAUUUUACUCUUUUCUUAAUGACAUCGCUUCCUUCGUACUUCCGAAUACCCGUAAUUCGCAAGGUGGUCGGACCGCCGGAGCAACUGCAAGCCUGAUCAAUCAACCAUGGAGAGCGCGCAAAUGGAAGAAGCAUUGAAUGUCUUAACUUUCGCCCUUUCUCAAAUCAAAUGGCGCCUUAAACCUUCUUCAAAACUCCGUCUUGAAAUUGAUGUUUUGGCAUUGUGCUCAGGGAUGAGACCUCUUGUGAUGGUAGACUAUGGUGGAAAGAUGCCUGAGCUCCAACAGCACUUAUGUUCUCUUCUUGAUCUUAUUCACAAGGAGUCUACUAUUUUCCAGCAGUUAAGAGUAAUGGUUAUUGAAGAUAUGAUCUACCUGUUAAAUGUCAGGGAGUUUGCUGAAUACGUUAUUUGGAGUUUGAGCUCGGAUGCUAAACAGUAUUUUGUUGACCUUGAACAGGAUCCUCCAAAGAUGAUAUCAACAGAUUCUGGGAGCUCAGCCAUCAAGGAGUUGGUGUCAGUUCAAAAUCUGUUCUUGUUGGUUUUUACUUCUGAUGGUGUUAAUAGGGAUGCUUUGCCAGGAGGCCCAGGACAAAGUGAAGACUACCAGAAAUAUGCUAAAGCUUCUUCUAAGCUUUGCCAGGGCUCGGAAGCUCUUGAUUUCAGUAGCUGCAUGCAAGACAAUCAGAUUACAAUACCGACCUUAAAUGGAUGGCUCCUUGGUUAUCCAGUGGUGUACCUGUUUGGCAAGGACCAUAUAUCAGAUGCUAUCUAUAAUCUCUCAACCAAGCCUCUUCGCCUUUACAAAGUUCUAGUUCACAGGUUAACCAAACAGAUCGAGAAGAGAGCGGAUUAAACUCGAUUUCGAUUUCGAAGGAUCGAAUGAGAAUUGCUGAACUGAAAAUUGUGUUUACCUGAUUCGCGAACCACAACCACCGGCGAGAGGGAGCAGCGGCGGCGGCAGCGAGAGGCGUGGCUGAAAGUUGGUGGUGUUCGAAAAAGAGAGAGAGAGGAAUUGAAGAGAGAUGAUGAGCACCAGAAAUGAUGAAAUAACGACCUGCGAGCGACGAUUAUCGAGAGGCAACGGUCGGAGGUAGAGCUGCAAUGGCCGAAUGCGGUGGUGGCUACGACCGGAAAUCGCCGGAUGGUGGUGGUGUUCGAAAACGGAAGAGAGAGAGGAAUUGAAGAGAGAGAAAGAGCACCGAAAAUAUGAAAAAAAAGGGGAAAUAAUAAUCAAAUUGGGUAUUUGUUUAUAAAAAUUACGAUAAUGCCAUUAUAGAAAGUGUUCUCGCCGUAAGGAAGUGUUCUCACCGUAAAAAUGCCCCGUGUAGCAAUGCAUCACCAUUGGAGGAGCUAAUGAGUUUUUCAGUACCCUACGACUUGAGUAUGGAAGGUCGCAAUGAACCGUGGGCAGAAGCAUUUUGGCUUCAGGUAGAAGCAAAAAGAGAAAAAUGUAA